rnacentral:piRNA from 1 species
UGCCGAAUAUGUACCUGUGGUAUGA